CCUACGGGCGGCAGCAGUGGGGGAUAUUGCACAAUGGGGGGAACCCUGAUGCAGCGACGCCGCGUGGGUGAAGGAGCGUUUCGGCGCGUAAAGCCCUAUCGGCAGGGAAGAAGAUGACGGUACCUGGCCAAGAAGCCCCGGCUAACUACGUGCCAGCAGCCGCGGUAAUACGUAGGGGGCAAGCGUUAUCCGGAUUUACUGGGGGUAAAGGGGGCGCAGACGGCAAUGCAAGCCAGUAGUGAAAGCCCGGGGCCCAACCCCGGGACUGCUCUUGGAACUGCAUGGCUGGAGUACAGGAGGGGCAGGCGGAAUUCCUGGUGUAGCGGUGAAAUGCGUAGAUAUUAGGAGGAACACCGGUGGCGAAGGCGGCCUGCUGGACUGUGACUGACGUUGAGGCCCGAAGGCGUGGGGAGCAAACAGGAUUAGAUACCCCGGUAGUC
rnacentral:rRNA from 1 species